UCUAACUUAAAACUAAGUGACGGCAGC
rnacentral:sRNA from 1 species